UACGUAGGGGGCAAGCGUUGUCCGGAAUCAUUGGGCGUAAAGCGCGUGUAGGCGGUUCGAUAAGUCUGCUGUGAAAGUCCAGGGCUCAACCCUGGGAUGCCGGUGGAUACUGUCGGACUAGAGUACGGAAGAGGCGAGUGGAAUUCCCGGUGUAGCGGUGAAAUGCGCAGAUAUCGGGAGGAACACCGGUGGCGAAGGCGGUUCUCUGGGCCUGUACUGACGCUGAGGAGCGAAAGCGUGGGGGAGCGAACAGG
rnacentral:rRNA from 1 species